UGGCUCUCUUUGAAUUGUAUGAUUUCAAGGCAUAAAACUAGAUGGAAAGGAAAUAUGCCAAUAUAUUAACAGUGUGGAAACUGGGUGGUAGAAUUGCAGGUAGUUUGAUUCUCUGCAUACUUUCCUCAACAUCCCAAAUUUUCUACAUUAAACAUGAAUUAUUUUUAUACUAAAAGAAGAUAUCAUGGGGAUAUAAUACAAUAAGGUAUUUUUAAAAAAUAGUUUUACCACAACAAGACAAUAUUUCCCCUUCCUCUUCCCCGUUCCCCUGCAGGGGAGGAGCUGGGGGAGGCCUCCUCCCCCAGGGAUGAGGAGGAGAGGGAAGCCCUGAUGCUUUAGGGGUUCUUCCUCUGGCCUCACAAGCUCAGGGUAGAGACCUCUGGGAGUACGGGGUUGGCAGAAUCCUCCACUGCUUGUUGAAGGUGCUUUGCCAGUUGGGGGAAGUUGGAACAGAUGCCCUUAGUGACUCCUGUCUCUGAGAGACUAGAUUCCAAGGUGCUCUCAUGUUUAUCAUUUUUUCCCCUUUCUUGGUUGAUCUGAACCAAAGACUGACAUAAAAGAGUAAGGUGGUAAAGAUUAAUCUACUUGCUACCCACCUCAAGCCCAUCCUAGGAAAAUACCUGUGAUAACGCCUACAGUGCUUUACAUGAACGUACAAGGUGACUGGCAAAGAAAAGACAAAUCAUCGGUGCAACAGGAAGUUAGCUUGGUUGCAGCCGCAUUAUUUAGUUAGUACAGUUUAUAUUCUAAACAGAAUGGCUGGCAGAUUCAGCCCUUUCCACUUCGUCCCUUUCCACGUUAGGACUUGUCCCUGAAAUGAGAAGGGCAUAAAGCACAAAGGGGUGUGUGUGUGUGUUCGCGCGCUCGCGCGCGUGUACACGUGACCAAACAGUGAAGGCAUUUGCCCCCUGUGAUCUAAUGUCCUUCAUUGACAACUAGGAUCCAGCAAGUGGCUCUGUGGGUUGUAUUUUAGACAAAGAAUCCCAGGCACUGAAAAAACAAAGUCGUCCCCCGCAUUCGAACCUUAGGGGCAGUUCCUGGUCCCGUGUCCUGACCGCUGCCGCUCACCGGUGACUCCUCGGGGCCACACCUCCAAGACCCAAGGUGCGUUCUCCCAAGCCCGCUAAAUGACAAAAUGACAAACAGCCUUCGCGGGUCCUCCUCCGCACUGCUAGGUUAUCAUAUGCUAAUGAAGCUGGAGGGGCCGGCGGAGACCGCCGUGCCUGCCCGUCUGCCUUCAGCGCGCGGGCGGAUCGGCCUCGCGCGCGCGCCACUGCGGCGCAGCCACCUCUCAAGGCACGCUACCGCAGACCCUCUUGAAGGGGCUCUGAGCUCCGGGGCUUCGUGGACUGCCCCAAAGUCCUGGAACCCUGUGGGACGGCCAGAAGCUUUGGCGGCCAGACGUUAGGAAAACUAUCCCCCACUGCUUGCGGCCCUGUGCACCCUGGAGCGCGAACUGGAUAUCAAAAAGCCAAGGUGAACAUGGACUGUUUUACUUUGCAGCAAACAGACCACUUUGUAUUUUCAAAAUGUGGAAAAAUACAGGAACGGAGCUGGGGGUGAGGGGCAAGGGAUGAAGGCCAACAUUGGCCAAGGCACUGUGACUUGUUGCUUCUCUUUCCAUGAAGUACAUCCUGCAAGGGGUGGUGGUGGUGGUGACACUGUCUCAGGCAUGUCAUAUCAGGGGAUGACUUCUGUCCAUUUCACACCACUUUAGAGUCAUUGGAAGUGUGGACUCUCAUCUGUAAAAUAUGUGGAGUUUACCAGUUUUCCCAGGUCAGGACUGCAGCCAAGGAAAGCUUUCUGGAGAUAUAGAGGCACCAAGGGGUCCUGGGUGCCUAGGCAUUUGGGGAGGAAGUCUCAAACAUGAAUGUCAAGCAGCCCCGAGGACCCUGAUGGUCAGUAUCCAUACUGGAACAUCUACAGGCAGACUAAUGGGACAGAUGAGAACCUGAGGCUCAAACAUUUCCCCAAGGUUCCACCUGGCAAUGAAGGCCAAGCCAGUACCAGAACCCCAUGUUCAUAGUUCAUCUUACCAUUCAGGAUUCAUUCUGUCACCCUGGGUUGUUGCUCAAAGUUCCCUUCAGCUGGACUGAAAUAAUCCUGGUGAGGAUGCUGUCAAUGUUAUUCUUUUAUCAUUUUUUGUUCCCCUUUCACUUACUGACUCACCAUUUCACAGCUACCUACUAAGCUCCUACAAUGUCUUCAACCACUUUCCCCUGACUCUAGUCCUGGGCCUUACUUGGGAAGAGAGGAAAAGCAAGAGACAGAAAGGCUUAGAGCUGCCCCUGUACCCAGUAGAGAAGAAGGCUGGUCACAGGCUCACUCUGCAUAUUUUUGCCGUGCUAGGUUGGAUGAAUGUAGAAGACAUAAUCCUUGCUUUCUGAACUAUUAUCCUCUGUUAGGUGGAGGAAAACACAUACAUGUCAUAAAAAAACAUUCCUGUUCAAUCCACUUCUGACUCCUUCUAAAGAAGGUGAAACUGAGGGAGCACCUAUAUUGGGCUGAGCAUCAAGAUGGAUUUGGAGUUGCAUGCCUGCAGGUAGCGGGUGGGGCAGUAUUGAAUUAGAACAGUAAGGAAAUAAAAGGAAAUAAACUGGAUGGGAGGAAAGAGGAAAGCACACAGAGAUAUAGUGCAGAGAUGCAACCUUCCUGGGCAUGCAUUGAGGAAGAGUAAUGAGAGAAACUCCCAGAACAGGGCUGUCAAGCAAGGAUUUGGAGGACGGGUAUUCUUGCAAAGAUUGG